rnacentral:rRNA from 1 species
AGUGAACGCUGGCGGUAGGCCUAACACAUGCAAGUCGAACGGCAGCACAGUAAGAGCUUGCUCUUACGGGUGGCGAGUGGUGGACGGGUGAGGAAUACAUCGGAAUCUACUUUUUCGUGGGGGAUAACGUAGGGAAACUUACGCUAAUACCGCAUACGACCUACGGGUGAAAGCAGGGGAUCUUCGGACCUUGCGCGAUUGAAUGAGCCGAUGUCGGAUUAGCUAGUUGGCGGGGUAAAGGCCCACCAAGGCGACGAUCCGUAGCUGGUCUGAGAGGAUGAUCAGCCACACUGGAACUGAGACACGGUCCAGACUCCUACGGGAGGCAGCAGUGGGGAAUAUUGGACAAAGGGCGCAAGCCUGAUCCAGCCAUACCGCGUGGGUGAAGAAGGCCUUCGGGUUGUAAAGCCCUUUUGUUGGGAAAGAAAAGCAGCAGGUUAAUACCCCGCUGUUCUGACGGUACCCAAAGAAUAAGCACCGGCUAACUUCGUG